rnacentral:rRNA from 1 species
AACGAACGCUGGCGGCGUGCCUAACACAUGCAAGUCGAGCGAGAAAGCGGCUUCGGCCGUGAGUACAGCGGCGCACGGGUGAGUAACACGUAGGCAAUCUUCCAUUGGGAUUGGGAUAACCUGCCGAAAGGCGGGCUAAUACCGGAUACGUUCCCUGGGACUUCGGUCUUGGGGAAGAAAGAGUGCUCCGCAAGGGGUAUUGCCCGAUGCUGAGCCUGCGUCCCAUCAGGUAGUUGGUGAGGUAACGGCUCACCAAGCCGAGGACGGGUAGCUGGUCUGAGAGGAUGAUCAGCCACACUGGAACUGAGACACGGUCCAGACUCCUACGGGAGGCAGCAGUGGGGAAUUUUGGUCAAUGGGCGCAAGCCUGAACCAGCAACGCCGCGUGGGUGAUGAAGGCCUUCGGGUUGUAAAGCCCUGUCGGGAGGGACGAAACUCCAGAGUAACGACCUGGACUGACGGUACCUUCAAAGGAAGCACCGGCUAACUCUGUGCCAGCAGCCGCCGUAACAC